UCGAACCUGCCGAUGACUCGGGGAUAGCCUUUCGAAAGAAAGAUUAAUACCCGAUGGCAUAGUUCUUCCGCAUGGUAGAACUAUUAAAGAAUUUCGGUCAUCGAUGGGGAUGCGUUCCAUUAGGUUGUUGGCGGGGUAACGGCCCACCAAGCCUUCGAUGGAUAGGGGUUCUGAGAGGAAGGUCCCCCACAUUGGAACUGAGACACGGUCCAA
rnacentral:rRNA from 1 species